GACGAACGCUGGCGGCGUGCCUAAUACAUGCAAGUAGAACGCACAGUUUAUACCGUAGCUUGCUACACCAUAGACUGUGAGUUGCGAACGGGUGAGUAACGCGUAGGUAACCUGCCUGGUAGCGGGGGAUAACUAUUGGAAACGAUAGCUAAUACCGCAUAAUAUUAAUUAUUGCAUGAUAAUUAAUUGAAAGGUGCAAUUGCACCACUACCAGAUGGACCUGCGUUGUAUUAGCUAGUAGGUGAGGUAACGGCUCACCUAGGCGACGAUACAUAGCCGACCGGAUAGGGUGAUCGGCCACACUGGGACUGAGACACGGCCCAGACUCCUACGGGAGGCAGCAGUAGGGAAUCUUCGGCAAUAGACGAAAGGCUGACCGAGCAACGCCGCGGGAGUGAAGAAGGUUGUCGGAUCGGAAAGCUCUGUUGUAAGAGAAGAACGGGUGUGAGAGUGGAAAGUUCACACUGUGACGGUAUCUUACCAGAAAGGGACGGUUAACUACGUG
rnacentral:rRNA from 1 species